rnacentral:rRNA from 1 species
UACACACCCGCCCGUCGCUCCUACCGAUUGAAUGGUCCGGUGAAGUUUUCGGAUCGCGGCGACGCCGGCGGUUCGCCGCCGGUGACGUUGUGAGAAGUUCAUUAAACCUUAUCAUUUAGAGGAAGGAGAAGUCGUAACAAGGUUUCCGUAGGUGAACCUGCGGAAGGAUCAUUG